GGCCUAUUAGCUUAGCUGGUAAGAGCGUGGUCCUAAUAAGGCCAAGGUCGCAGGUUCGAGACCUGCAUAGGCCA
rfam:Brachypodium distachyon strain Bd21 chromosome 2, whole genome shotgun sequence.